rnacentral:rRNA from 1 species
AUGGUGAGCACCCUGGACACACUGUCCCUCGACAUCCAGCAGUGCGUCGUCGACUGCUUCAACAACUUCGCCAUGCACGCCUCCUGCUCCGAGCUAGAUCAUCAGUUAAGUCACCAAUUCCACCUGAUUGAUUCGAGUUUUGUAUGCAGAUGCAGAGGGAGAUGUGCUGCUGGAUCUUACAAGAAGGUCACUCUGACAAGACUGGCUAGCUGUGAUCCUCGUGGGAAUAAAGAGGAUGUGACCUGUGAUUGUCGUGGAUUUAGAGGUGACACUGAUUAG